rnacentral:rRNA from 1 species
GCCUAUAGCCAUAGCACCCUGAACAUGCUUGAUCUACUCUGAUCAUAGAAGCUAAGCGGGAUGGGGCCUGGUUAUAGUACAGUACCUGGAUGGGAAACCACCAGGCAAGACUAGGGACCUCCAGGUA